AGAGUUUGAUCCUGGCUCAGGACGAACGCUGGCGGCGUGCUUAACACAUGCAAGUCGAACGGAGAUACAUUUAUGUAUCUUAGUGGCGAACGGGUGAGUAACGCGUGGGUAACCUGCCCUUUUAUCGGGGAUAACUUGCCGAAAGGUGAGCUAAUACCGGAUGUGCUGUUUUGAUCACAUGAUUGAGAUAACAAAGGUGGCCUCUAUAUAUAAGCUACCGUAAAAGGAUGGACCCGCGUCUGAUUAGCUAGUUGGUGGGGUAACGGCCUACCAAGGCGACGAUCAGUAGCCGGCCUGAGAGGGUGAACGGCCACACUGGGACUGAGACACGGCCCAGACUCCUACGGGAGGCAGCAGUGGGGAAUCUUCCGCAAUGGACGAAAGUCUGACGGAGCAACGCCGCGUGAGUGACGAAGGUUUUCGGAUUGUAAAACUCUGUCUUUUGGGACGAACGGUUCAUAUGUAAAUAAUGUAUGAAAUUGACGGUGCCGAAG
rnacentral:rRNA from 1 species